UUGACAGCUAUGGAGAUGGAAGUCUUCUGUUUAUCCUCAGAAGAGGUACAGCACAGACAAUAACAGUAACUUUCUUCCCAUCAUACCCUGCCAAAUUUCCUCAAUUCCGUCCUUUAGGGGUAAGAGGAUAGUUAAAUCUUCUUGCCCACUCCAAUGUUGGCUCCC
rnacentral:sRNA from 1 species